UGCCGUCUGGGUAUGUUGGUUUUCAGUGCUGGGCAGUAGCGAAGCGACUAGUUUAAUUACAUUCUCUAGUAGCUUGGUCGUAGCGUCACUACUAUGUAUCGAGUAGCUAACAUCCCUGUAGUAAUGCUAUUUUUCCUCAAGUAGCGACGUUGUCUACAAAAGCUACAAUUUGUCCCCCAUCGAUUUUACUCAAUGAUUUUUGUUUUACUUUCUCUAUCCUGAAACCUAGGCAGUCACACAGGGGUUCCAAGACCCACCGGCGUAAAAUCAAGUCAAAGGCUGCUGUCUCAUAAUAUGGCGAAGACGAGUCACCUGAAGGCCUAACUCGCCAUAGAAGACUGAAAGAAUUGUCCUGCAGGAUGCUGUGUCCUGCAAUCCUGUGUGCUGUGCUACAGACGCGUGUGGAGGUCAACCCAAAAUGGGCACAGUCUCACCGCAGAAGAGUGAAAGAGGAUCCUGGCAGGGAGACGGUAGUGUCCUGCAGAAUGGUGAUGGGCCAAUCUUACAAGAGACCACAGAAAACUGAUAUAGUGAACUAUAGAAACAACAGUGCCUGCUGCAGUGUAACGAGGACACCCUGAGCAGAGAGCUCCAAUAGACCCAGGUCCAGUGUCUUGGCAGGGUGAAAUGGCACUGAUAUGGUGUCCUGCAGGAUGCUGUGUCCUGCAAUCCUGUGUGCUGUGCUACAGACGCGUGUGGAGGUCAACCCAAAAUGGGCACAGUCUCACCACAGAAGAGUGAAAGAGGCUCCCAGAAGUGAGACUGAAUGCCUGUUGCAGUAUGACGAGGACGCAGUGACCAGAGACCUUCAGUAGACCCUGGCUGAAGAACAUGAAAUCAACUGCAAUGUUUAUAAUGUUGUACAUACCUGUAUAGUCUGUAUUAAAAGGCAG